rnacentral:rRNA from 4 species
GGGUUGUGAGGUUAAGCGACUAAGCGUACACGGUGGAUGCCCUGGCAGUCAGAGGCGAUGAAGGGCGUGCUAAUCUGCGAUAAGCGCCGGUAAGGUGAUAUGAACCGUUAUAACCGGCGAUACCCGAAUGGGGAAACCCAGUGUGACUCGUCACACUAUCAUUAACUGAAUCCAUAGGUUAAUGAGGCGAACCGGGGGAACUGAAACAUCUAAGUACCCCGAGGAAAAGAAAUCAACCGAGAUUCCCCCAGUAGCGGCGAGCGAACGGGGAGGAGCCCAGAGCCUGAAUCAGCAUGUGUGUUAGUGGAAGCGUCUGGAAAGGCGCGCGAUACAGGGUGACAGCCCCGUACACAAAAGCGCAUGUGUUGUGAGCUCGAUGAGUAGGGCGGGACACGUGGUAUCCUGUCUGAAUAUGGGGGGACCAUCCUCCAAGGCUAAAUACUCCUGACUGACCGAUAGUGAACCAGUACCGUGAGGGAAAGGCGAAAAGAACCCCGGCGAGGGGAGUGAAAAAGAACCUGAAACCGU